AACGAACGCUGGCGGCGGGCUUAACACAUGCAAGUCGAACGCACCGCAAGGGGAGUGGCAGACGGGUGAGUAACGCGGGGGAACAUACCCUUUUCUAGGUAAUAGCUCUGGGAAACUGGAAUUAAUACCGUAUACGCCCUACGGGGCAAAGAGUUAUCGUGGAAGGAUUGGACCGCGUUGGAUUAGCGAGUUGGGGGGGUAAAGGCCUACCAAGGCGACGAUCCAUAGCUGUUCAGAGAGGAUCAGCCGCCACAUUGGGACGGAGACACAGUACGAACUCCUACGGGAGGCAGCAGUGGGGAACAUUGCACAAUGGGCGCAAUGAUGAUCCAGCCAUGCCGCGUGAGUGAUGAAGGCCUUAGGGUAGUAAAGUUCUUUUACCGGUGAAGAUAAUGACGGUAGUCGGACAGGAAGCCACGGCUAACUUCGUG
rnacentral:rRNA from 1 species